UACCUUUUUUUUUUUUUUUCUGAUAUUUGUGCUCAUGAUCUAGUGUUGAAAGGCUGUCCAAACAGCACUUCCAGUCUCCAUUUUUAGAGGAAACUAUUUUCGAUUUUGAGUAAUUACUUGGAAAACAAGUUCUUGCAUACAUGUUCCUGUGAAAAUUUUCCACAAUAGUAAGCAGACCUGGAGAAAACUGUGAAAGAGUAAUACAAGCAUGGCAAGGACUGAAGUCAGGAGGCAAAGGAAGAAAACCUGAGUAGAUCUACCUUAAAAGCUGUUACAGGUUAGUUUGUAAUUUCCACAAUGAUGC
rnacentral:lncRNA from 1 species